ACUCUGCAGCAGACGGGGAAGAAAACUCUGGGGCUCCUUCCCUUCGGAUGGAUAGAGAGGGCGGCCGGGCGGCGAGCUGCAAGAAGGAGGUCAGGGUGGGCUUGCGGGAGCUCGGGGGCGACCUGGAGGGAGCGGGAGCCCCCGGCACCGCCCCCGCGCCCCCCCCCCGCCCCCGCCGCACCCCCCGGGGCGGGCGCCGGGCCGCGGUGACCGCCGGCUGGUGCGCUGCCCUCGCCUCCCCCAUUGUUCCUACUGUCUUUUUGCCUUUUGUUAUUUGCACUCGCAUUGUGUUGUUUGUCUCUGAAGCCGCCUCAUGACCAGCAAAGGGAUUUCACCUCGUCCUUGAGAGCAACACGGGGAGCGCGAGCGAGCGGGCGAGCGAGAGACGGGGGGAGAGAGAGGGACACGCGCGCGCACACACACACACACCGGCACACACGCACACACACAGACACACACACACAGAGUGAAAAAGGCGAGCCACCAAAACCCAUCUCCAGUCUCCUCCCGGGGGCCCCCAGCCCGCCUCUGUGCCACUUUGCAUCCCACGCCGGAGGAGGCAUUAACGAGACCGGGCUUUUUAAACGGUCCAAGGUGUAGAGCCAUACUUCAGGAGGAUCCUCAGAAGUUUUGGACAAGCCUCCCCAAAUGUGGCAGGUGCUGUGCUGGCCAUUGGUGACCCAAAGAUGAUGAAAAAUAUGUUCCUGCCCACAAGGAGUUAGCGACCUACUGGGCUUUCCUCUUGCUGAUGACAUGAUUCCUGUUUGAAUCUGUUGACAAGAUUCUGAAAGCUGAACAGAGAAUUCUGGCACUGCACUGGGUAGGAAAAAGCAUUUCAAGAAAUAGAUAAUAUCAAGGACAUCAGGACACCGGGAGUGGGAGAGAUUGGACUGGGAGACUCAGCAGGGAGGAGCACCCAGGUCAUGAAAAUCGAGUUUCUUCUCUUCUCUGCCAUGUACUCUGUGCUGGUGUCCACCUCUAAAAGCUCUUGACACUCUUCAGAGUCAAUCUGUUUGCCAAC
rnacentral:lncRNA from 1 species